rnacentral:rRNA from 1 species
GAUGAACGCUGGCGGCGUGCCUAAUACAUGCAAGUCGAGCGAACAGACGAGGUGCUUGCUCCUCUGACGUUAGCGGCGGACGGGUGAGUAACACGUGGAUAACCUACCUAUAAGACUGGGAUAACUUCGGGAAACCGGAGCUAAUACCGGAUAAUAUAUUGAACCGCAUGGUUCGAUAGUGAAAGACGGUUUUGCUGUCACUUAUAGAUGGAUCCGCGCCGCAUUAGCUAGUUGGUAAGGUAACGGCUUACCAAGGCAACGAUGCGUAGCCGACCUGAGAGGGUGAUCGGCCACACUGGAACUGAGACACGGUCCAGACUCCUACGGGAGGCAGCAGUAGGGAAUCUUCCGCAAUGGGCGAAAGCCUGACGGAGCAACGCCGCGUGAGUGAUGAAGGUCUUCGGAUCGUAAAACUCUGUUAUUAGGGAAGAACAAAUGUGUAAGUAACUAUGCACGUCUUGACGGUACCUAAUCAGAAAGCCACGGCUAACUACGUG